rnacentral:rRNA from 1 species
UGGGGAAUUUUUGUCAAUGGGGGAAACCCUGAACAAGCAACGCCGCGUGAAGGACGAAGACCUUCGGGUUGUAAACUUCUGUCGGAGGGGACGAAAGCGGUCGCGGCGAAUACCCGUGGCCGUUGACGGUACCCUACGAGGAAGCCCCGGCUAACUCUGUGCCAGCAGCCGCGGUAAUACAGAGGGUGCGAGCGUUGUCCGGAAUCACUGGGCGUAAAGGGCGCGUAGGCGGCCUGAUAAGUAGGGGGUGAAAUCUUGCGGCUCAACCGCAAGGCUGCCUCCUAGACUGUCAGGCUCGAGCACGGCAGAGGCUGGUGGAAUUCCCGGUGUAGCGGUGGAAUGCGUAGAGAUCGGGAAGAACAUCGGUGGCGAAGGCGGCCAGCUGGGCCGUUGCUGACGCUGAGGCGCGACAGCGUGGGGAGCAA